CGCAAGUUGCGCCCGAAGCCAUUAGGUUGAGGGCACGCCUGCCUGGGCGUCACGCAUCGCGUCGCCCCCUCCCACCCCUCUCCUUUUUUAGUAUGGGUGGAUUUGAGGGGACGGAUAUUGGCCUCCCGUGCUCUUUUUGUGCGGCCGGCUUAAACUUGAU
rnacentral:rRNA from 1 species